rnacentral:rRNA from 1 species
UUUUUGUAAUUAAUUUAAAGUCUAGCCUGCCCAAUGAUAAUUUUAAUGGCCGCAGUAUUUUGACUGUGCAAAGGUAGCAUAAUCAUUAGUUUUUUAAUUGAGAACUGGAAUGAAAGGCUGGACGAGAAAAUAACUGUCUCUUUAUUAAUUUUUUAGAAUUUUAUUUUUAAGUUAAAAAGCUUAAAUUUUUUUAAAAGACGAGAAGACCCUAUAGAGUUUUAUUAAUUUAAUGAUAAUAUAUUAUAUAGAUUUUUUUUUAUUUUUAUUAUUAUAUUAAUUUAAUUGGGGUGAUUGAAAAAUUUAAUUAACUUUUUUUUAAUGAGAACAUUAAUAUAUGAUUAAUUGAUCCAUAAAUUAUGAUUAUAAGAUUAAAUUACCUUAGGGAUAACAGCGUAAUUUCUUUUUAGAGUUCUAAUCGAUAAAGAAGUUUGUGACCUCGAUGUUGGAUUAAAAUAAAUUUUUGGUGUAGUAGCUAAAAUAUUAGGUCUGUUCGACCUUUAAAAUUU